GGAUGCGAUCAUACCAGCACUAAAGCACCGGAUCACAUCAGAACUCCGAAGUUAAGCGUGCUUGGGCGAGAGUAGUACUAGGAUGGGUGACCUCCUGGGAAGUCCUCGUGUUGCAUUCC
rfam:Triticum aestivum genome assembly, contig: Triticum_aestivum_CS42_TGACv1_scaffold_089593_1DS